rnacentral:rRNA from 1 species
UAGAGUUUGAUCCUGGCUCAGAUUGAACGCUGGCGGCAGGCCUAACACAUGCAAGUCGAGCGGAUGAGGGGAGCUUGCUCCCUGAUUUAGCGGCGGACGGGUGAGUAAUGCCUAGGAAUCUGCCUGGUAGUGGGGGAUAACGUUCCGAAAGGAACGCUAAUACCGCAUACGUCCUACGGGAGAAAGCAGGGGACCUUCGGGCCUUGCGCUAUCAGAUGAGCCUAGGUCGGAUUAGCUAGUUGGUGAGGUAAUGGCUCACCAAGGCGACGAUCCGUAACUGGUCUGAGAGGAUGAUCAGUCACACUGGAACUGAGACACGGUCCAGACUCCUACGGGAGGCAGCAGUGGGGAAUAUUGGACAAUGGGCGAAAGCCUGAUCCAGCCAUGCCGCGUGUGUGAAGAAGGUCUUCGGAUUGUAAAGCACUUUAAGUUGGGAGGAAGGGCAUCAACCUAAUACGUUAGUGUUUUGACGUUACCAACAGAAUAAGCACCGGCUAACUUCGUGCCAGCAGCCGCGGUAAUACGAAGGGUGCAAGCGUUAAUCGGAAUUACUGGGCGUAAAGCGCGCGUAGGUGGUUCGUUAAGUUGGAUGUGAAAGCCCCGGGCUCAACCUGGGAACUGCAUCCAAAACUGGCGAGCUAGAGUACGGUAGAGGGUGGUGGAAUUUCCUGUGUAGCGGUGAAAUGCGUAGAUAUAGGAAGGAACCACCCAGUGGCGAAGGCGACCACCCUGGACUGAUACUA